rnacentral:sRNA from 1 species
GCGCAGGCGACAGCGCGUGGCGUUCAGGGCCUGACGGUUGCUAGGGUGACAGGGACACAACAUGGCGGCGGGAUCCCUAAUGCUCUCCUUCGAGGGACCACCACGGAGAUCCUAGUGCGGGACCCCGCCUCAGGGAAGUGGAAAGCAGGGGGACAACCUUCCUGCCUCUUUCUUUUCCGUCCAGUGUCGGCAAGGGGUUGUCACCGGCUUCCGCAUCCAAGAUGAAGAACUAUAAAGCCAUUGGCAAAAUAGGAGAGGGAACGUUUUCUGAGGUUAUGAAGAUGCAAAGCCUGAGAGAUGGAAACUACUAUGCGUGUAAACAAAUGAAGCAGCGCUUUGAAAGUAUUGAGCAAGUCAACAGCCUCCGAGAGAUCCAAGCACUGAGGCGCCUGAAUCCGCACCCAAACAUUCUUAUGUUGCAUGAAGUGGUUUUUGACAGAAAAUCUGGUUCUCUUGCACUAAUAUGUGAAUUUAUGGACAUGAAUAUUUAUGAGCUAAUACGAGGGAGAAGAUACCCAUUAUCAGAAAAAAAAAUUAUGCAUUAUAUGUACCAGUUAUGUAAGUCCCUGGAUCAUAUUCACAGGUAUGCUCUUGGAGAUUUGACAGCUCUGAAAUUAAUAAAAUGUGUUAACAUUCAGAUUCAAGAAUUUGAAUAAAUGAAGUGUAAUUCUAUUUUUCCUUCUAUACUGAAUGCAGAAAUGGAAUAUUUCACAGAGAUGUAAAACCAGAAAAUAUACUAAUAAAGGUAAGAGCUUUUACAUGAAAGCUAGGUAUCAGAAUAAAAGUUGAACAGAAAAUCUUUCCCUGAAAGCUUUUCCCCUCCUACCGGAGGAACUUUCAGUCCAUGCAGCUAGACAGCCUGUUUGUUACAGUAAUUUUUUCCCCUCUCAGGUUGUAAAAAAUGGUUUAUUUAAUAAAUGCCAUCAACAUAACUGACUGCACCUGGAAGAAAAUAAUAGAAAGCACCAUUUUCACACUUCAGACAAAAAUGAACCCUAUUCAGACGGCCGUUCAAACCUUCUAGAGGGAAAUGUGGCAGAGGCAAGAUUUGAGCUCAGGAUGUCCUGAAAUUAGCGGACUUUGGCUCCUGCCGGAGUGUCUAUUCCAAGCAGCCGUACACAGAAUACAUCUCCACCCGCUGGUACCGGGCCCCGGAGUGUCUCCUCACCGACGGGUUCUACACGUACAAGAUGGACCUGUGGAGCGCCGGCUGUGUGUUCUACGAGAUCGCCAGUCUGCAGCCCCUCUUUCCUGGAGUAAAUGAACUGGACCAAAUCUCAAAAAUCCACGAUGUUAUCGGCACACCUGCUCAGAAGACCCUCACCAAGUUCAAACAGUCGAGAGCUAUGAAUUUUGAUUUUCCUUUUAAAAAGGGAUCAGGAAUACCUCUACUGACAACCAAUUUGUCCCCACAAUGCCUCUCCCUCUUGCACGCAAUGGUGGCCUACGAUCCCGAUGAGAGAAUCGCCGCCCACCAGGCCCUGCAGCACCCCUACUUCCAAGAACAGAGGAAAACAGAGAAGCGGGCUCUGGGCAGCCACAGAAAAGCUGUCUUUCCGGAGCACCCUGUGGCACCGGAACCACUCAGUAACAGCUGCCAGAUUUCCAAGGAGGGCAGAAAGCAGAAACAGUCCCUAGAGCAAGAGGAGGACCAUCCCAAGAGACAAGGACCAGCCUAUGUCAUGGAACUGCCCAAACUAAAGCUUUCGGGAGUGGUCAAACUGUCGUCUUACUCCAGCCCCACGCUGCAGUCCGUGCUUGGAUCUGGAACAAAUGGAAGAGUGCCGGUGCUGAGACCCUUGAAGUGCAUCCCUGCGAGCAAGAAGACAGAUCCGCGGAAGGACCUUAAGCCUGCCCCGCAGCAGUGUCGCCUGCCCACCAUAGUGCGGAAAGGCGGAAGAUACUGAGCAGCACCGUCGUCUCGACUUCCGGAGGCAACACCAAACCCGAUCGGGCCAGGCCUGAGCGAUCUGCUUCUGAGACGCCACGGAGGGCUGGGGAUGCGCCUGCGUCCGUUUCGCGCUGGCCGGGGCUCUGGGUGCUGCCCUGCGCCCUGCCGCACUCGCGGCCCGCGCAGCUGCCUAGGAUGUUCUGGGCUAAUAUAUUUGUAAAACCACCGCAUUCUAGGGUUUUCUUUCAUUUUCGUUAAGAAUUUGGGGCAGGAAAUAUUUUGUAAUUUUGUAUAUGAAUCAAAACAAACGAGCAGGCAUUUCUGUGAUGCGUUGGGCGUGGUUGGAAGGUGGGUUCUGCGUGUCCCCUCCCAGCGCUGCUGGUCGGUCGUGGAGCGCCACCACGUCUUACCAGUGACGCAACUGACACCCCUGACUUUUAUUAAAGAAUAAGCUGUCGUUACAGUA